GAUCAUGGCUCAGGAUGAACGCUAGCUACAGGCUUAGCACAUGCAAGUCGAGGGGAAACGACAUCGAAAGCUUGCUUUUGAUUGGCGUCGACCGGCGCACGGGUGAGUAACGCGUAUCCAACCUGCCCACCACUUGGGGAUAACCUUGCGAAAGUAAGACUAAUACCCAAUGACGUCUUUAGAAGACAUCUGAAAGAGAUUAAAGAUUUAUCGGUGAUGGAUGGGGAUGCGU
rnacentral:rRNA from 1 species